rnacentral:rRNA from 1 species
AACGAACGCUGGCGGCAGGCCUAACACAUGCAAGUCGAGCGCCCCGCAAGGGGGGCGGCAGACGGGUGAGUAACGCGUGGGAAUCUACCCAUCUCUACGGAAUAACGCAUGGAAACGUGUGCUAAUACCGUAUACGUCCCUCGGGAGAAAGAUUUAUCGGAGAUGGAUGAGCCCGCGUUGGAUUAGCUAGUUGGUGGGGUAAAGGCCUACCAAGGCGACGAUCCAUAGCUGGUCUGAGAGGAUGAUCAGCCACACUGGGACUGAGACACGGCCCAGACUCCUACGGGAGGCAGCAGUGGGGAAUAUUGGACAUUGGGCGCAAGCCUGAUCCAGCCAUGCCGCGUGAGUGAUGAAGGCCCUAGGGUUGUAAAGCUCCUUCACCGGUGAAGAUAAUGACGGUAACCGGAGAAGAAGCCCCGGCUAACUUCGUGCCAGCCGCCGCCGUAACAC